GCGCCAUUAGCUCAACUGGCAGAGCAUCUGACUCUUAAUCAGAGGGUUGAGGGUUCAAGUCCCCCAUGGCGCA
rnacentral:tRNA from 1 species